AUGCUGGAAAUGUUUGAGAAGGAUGACAUGGCUAUGCAGAGCUCAGGCCCAGAUUUUGUUCCCACAGCUCAGUAUGAGUCUUUAAGGAGAGAGUUUGAGGAACUACAGGAGAAAUACUCAAGAGGCCAGGCUUCAACUGAAGCCUCAAGCAUCGCAGAGAAUCCUGGGUAAUGUGGUUAAAAUGAGAUCAGACUAAUAUUUUGUCAAUCUUUUUCUUGAUAUGAUUCAGAUAGUGCACACUGUACUGUAUAAGUCAUCUAUAUCUAUUCAUUUGGUGUAUUUUUGUCCGGAAGAAUUAUUAUUAAAUGAAAAUUAGGAAACGUAACCAUUACCAAGUAUGGGUGGGGGAAAAUAAAUCAAUACAUUAUAGUAUCACAUUAUUUUGCUUGGCGACAAUGUGUCAGUACAUGAACUCCAAGUAUCAAUAUUUUAUUAUAAAUCGCAUAUAUGAAAAUAUUUUGGUUCUGAAUAAUAAAAUUAAAAAUAUUUUAUACCAGUACUGGUGCAUGCAACAUAAUUGACAGUUUUUAUGACAAUGUUGGUCAGUCGGCCUGCUUGACAUUCUGCAGUUGAAAAAAUUUAUUACACAAUAAUUUAAUUUCAUGGCUUAAGUAUUGUUAUAUUAUUAGCCUCUGGUGAUUCUUACCUCUAUUGACAAGGAAGUUGUUGGAGUUGAAACUGGAACAUACCUAAUCUAAACUAAUAUCAGUCACUCAUGCACAUAUGAAUCCUGUCAAGUAAUUUAAACUUUUGCUCUCCUAACGGUGCUUUUAUUAGAUCUGAGGAGAAAGAGGAGAAAGAUCAAAAAGCUCUGGAGGAACAGCUGGCUCAAGUCCAGGCCGAGUUAGAGGAACUCAAAGAACAGAUGCGUCUGGGGGUCUAUUCAGUGGAGGAAGCAGGAGCGAAGCCUGAAGGGGCCUCCGAGGACCCUGAGGAAGGAGCAAAUGUGGAGAACCAGCAGGAGCUGGAGGCGGAGCUAGCUAGCAAAAAGACAGAUGGGGAGGGGAUUAAUGAAGGUGACAAUGACACCAUCCAACAGCUGAAACAGAGGGUGACGGAACUUGAGGCAGCUCUGCAGGAUAGAGAGAAAGGAGAAGAGGGAGAGGAGGAGACCGAGACAGUUGUGAGUCUUAAAAAGCGGGUGGAAGAGCUGGAAAAAGCCCUGGAGCAAACCAAGACGGCAGGGAACGAGGAGGGCGAGGGAGCGCUGGUGAACAGGUUGCAGGCACGGGUGGAAGAACUUGAACGGGCGUUGAAGGAGAGUGUCCCUCGAGGUCAGUUUGAGGAGGUUCAGGUCACUUUGGGUCUUCAGCUUAACCAGCUAGCUCAAGAACGAGCCGAAGUGGCUACCCGACUCAACCAGGCCUUACUGGAGCUGGAAAGGCUCCGCCCUCCAUCCCACAUUGGUGAAGAUGAAGACGACGAGGACCCUUCCGAGAGCUCGGAGGUUUCCAUUGCAUCUGAGCACUCCCUGCACCUGUCGCCAGGCGGACGGACCUUAGAGGCAAUACAGGAGGAGCUGGAAGUUGCAAGGCAAGAGGCAGCACAAGCUCUGGACAGCCUUUGUGCCGAGAGAGAAAGCCGGGCUCAGGAUGCACUACAGCUGAGAGAUGCAGUACCUCUGGUGAAACACCAGGAGGUGCUGUCUGCAAUAGCCCAGCAGUUAGCGCAAACAGAAAAAGAGCUGCAAGCAGAACGGCCACUGCGUCAGCAAGCUCAAACUGAGAUCGCCAGACUGGAAUCUGAGCUGCAGGCUGUGCAAAAAGACUCAGUUAGCAAGGAAGAACAUGAUAAAGUCAAGGUAAGUUACAGAAGAUGCUGA
ensembl:lncRNA